rnacentral:misc_RNA from 1 species
AUCAUCUGUGAGAGAAAACUCAUUUCUAUAUUGAGAAAAUUACAUUGUUAUAGAAAUGUGAAGUAAGAAAAGACAUAUUUAUUCUUUAAUUAUAAUAUUUAUUUUAAGAGUGAUUAGAUGAUAACAAAAUUGAAAAGAACAAUGAUGAAAAAAAUCCCAUAGGGAAAGAAGUCGAGUCAUAUAUAUAAUUGUAAUUACAGUAAUCAAGAAGUGAAUUAAGUCUCCAGAAUAAGAGACUGUUUAGUUGAAAACUGAAAGCUAGACCAGCGUCAGAAACUAAUCCAGUUUUCUUUAAUUUUUCUAAAAACAAUAGGUAUUUUAUGCCUGUAAUUGAAGAAAAGUUGACAAAGGAAAAUAGUAGUGGAUCCUUCUAUGAAAUAUGAUGGAUUGUAUUAUAAAAUAUAAUUUUUUUGAAAUAAAAUAUAUUUUUUUUGGAUUAAAAUUGAUUAGGCGUAUAAAUUAAUUUACAUAUACAGGUAAUAAUUUUUCUGUUUUUUAAGCUUCUAUCAAUUAUAUUUCAAUAUGUAUGAAUGAAUGUUCUAAUUGGCUUGUUCAGUCUAUUAGAGUAGGCAUCUUGUAUCUAGGUUGGAGUUAUAAUCCAUCUUAUCAGUUAGAAGCUCUUUUAUUUUAUUUUUUUAUAAGCAAAGAAAAAUUUUAUUAAAUGAAGAAAAAGAAAAGUAUAAAGGUACAAUUCAAAGAAAAUAGGUCGAGAAAUAGGGUUCAAAAUACAUAGGCUAAAACACAGAAAUAAGAUAACCCACAUAAUGCUACAUGUCCCUAGCUGCUGAUAGAUGGAAGAAGCUUUUUUACUUAAAGAUAUGAUUUAUGGAUUUUCUAGUUCAUGAAUGAUAUUCUCUUAUUCUUAUUAAACGAAAAAUAAAAAAAUUACAUUCUGUGUUUUAUGGAAAAACAAUGUCCCUAGACUUAUUUUUUAAAUAUAUUAAUU